CUUGUAGAGAAGCAUUAUCACUCAAGUAAGUAGUAAACUAAGUUCAAUUUACAUACAUAAAAUUAAUCUUCAUAAACGUCAGAUUUCAUUAUUAUAUACAAUAUAAGACUACACGGGUUCAAUUAUAUUUCUUCGACCAGAACCUCACUAAAACGAGUAGAUGAAGUGCGUCUGGUCAUUUUUUUUUUAUUAUUAUUUUAAUUAAACGACCAAGACAGUUAUCUUUUUAUUUCUCAAUUGAUUUCUAUAUGUCAAAUCACACCAGGAAUUGUGGUAUUUAUUUGUGCCAGUAUGAGUUUAGAGAAUUCAUAUUUUGGUUUUGUCUACAAUGACAGUCACUGUGUAUUAAUUUGGAAUGGAUCUUUACGCUCAACCCCCCCCCCCCCCCAAAAAAAUAAACCCUCCCGUGUAUAUGAUAAAAACUUUUUUAUAAUUAUAGCAACGACGAUUUCCUCCUUUGAAAUGCGAUGCUGGAACCCUACUAAAGCCAUGAUACUCUAGAAUCAAAUCAAAAGAAUAAGGGUGCAGAUGCGCCACUGUAACAAGUCUUUUUUCUCGCCUUUUUUUAAAGCUUAUUAAUAAGUAAUUCAUAUAAUCAUUUACCUAGUCACUAUAGAGUGUAACAAUAUAAUACGAUGACCAAACAUGUAAAAGCUUUAAAUACAUGCAAUCUAGCAUGUGCUCAGCUUAAUACAAUACAAACAUGAGGAAGUUAAAAGCUGCCCGCCUUUAUGUUAAAACUCCAGUUAUACAGGUACACUCAAACAGUAUACAGUACAUUUGUCCUCCUUUAAAAGGUGGAAAGGGGAGACAAUUAUGCUCAAUUUUUUUUAAUGUUUUGACGCAACAUGAAUCUAUCUGCUUUCAGUACUUCUCCG
rnacentral:lncRNA from 1 species